rnacentral:rRNA from 1 species
GGGCCCGCACAAGCGGUGGAGUAUGUGGUUUAAUUCGAUGCAACGCGAAGAACCUUACCAGGGUUUGACAUCCUGCGAAUCUCUUGGAAACGAGAGAGUGCCUUCGGGAACGCAGUGACAGGUGGUGCAUGGCUGUCGUCAGCUCGUGUCGUGAGAUGUUGGGUUAAGUCCCGCAACGAGCGCAACCCACGUCUUUAGUUGCCAGCAUUUAGUUGGGCACUCUAGAGAGACCGCCGGUGAUAAACCGGAGGAAGGUGUGGAUGACGUCAAGUCAUCAUGCCCCUUACAUCCUGGGCUACACACGUACUACAAUGCUACGGACAAAGGGCAGCAAGUUCGCGAGGACAAGCAAAUCUCAAAAAAGUUGCCUCAGUUCGGAUUGGAGUCUGCAACUCGACUCCAUGAAGUUGGAAUCGCUAGUAAUCGCGGAUC